GGUUCCUGGCUCGGCUCUACCACCAUGGAUCUAGGUGGGCUCAAUGUCAUCACAAGGGUGCUUAAGAGGGAAAGAGGAAGCCAUGAGGGUCAGAGUCAAAGGAAGACUUGAAGAUACUACACUGCGGACUUUACAGAUGAAGGAAGGGGCGAAAACCAAGAAUGUGGGAAGCCUCUAGAAGCUAGAGAAGGCAAGGAAACAAAUUUUCCACUAGAGCCUCCAGAAGGAACACAGCCCUGCUGACCCACUGUAAUGUCUGACCUCUAGAUGUGUAAGGGUAGUAAGACUGAAAGUCUCAGAAAGGCACUGUUACAUUCUUAUUCCACAACUAUGCAACUCGAAACUGGGGUCCUCAGCAGUGAGCGAGGGGUGAGAGAAGACACUGUAUAAACAUGGCACAUCCUCCUGGAAAGUCAACUUUACUCAAAGGUAAAUAAUUUAACAUAUUUUUCUUUUUAAAACACACAUGGAUGUAUUAUGAAGGAGAAUGCAAAUUUUGCAUGAAUUUUUAAGAAUAGGCGUGGAUUAUCCAACCACUUUCUUAUUGCAGCUUUAGAAACCCAGCUCAAACUAGCUGAAGCAGAAAAGACACUACUGCGCCUAUAAGUUGAAACUUUGGAGGGAUAAAUUUCAGAGGUGUGGCUAGAUCCAAGGGCUCUCUGGAAAACUCUGUGAAAAAAAUGCUUCCUCAAGUCCAGAAACCAGAAGCUCAGGAAAUUCUUGCUUGGUUCCUCUUGUUAGAGGCAAAGAUUAUUCAACGACCUACAGGGUAGCGUUUGGCUAACAUAAUCUGCCUUCCAAUGGAGUAAGAAUGUCUGUACUCUUUCCUUCACCUACCCCCAAGACAUGGAGGCGUCUAAAAGAUAAAUAAAACUUGGCAACUGACCGAAGGAGGAAGAGGGGAUUUCAGGCAAAAUCAACGCUGUUCACUACGAGGAGAUUUCAGAAAGGUUGCCUGCUUCUGGGGAGCAUAGUCCCUGAUUCCUCAAGACAUACGUUUAUUCUUUUCUUCAAUGUAUUUGCCUGCAGUCAAAACAAAACCAUUACCUUUAGCCAAGUUCAUACAUUUCAGCCAAAUCCAUAUGCAUCGGAUCAGUUCUGUAGGUUAUGGGUGAGCAUGAACAUAUAAAAGAGGCACCUGCCUGUGCCUAUCUACUCCAUGGAGUUUGAAAAGGGGCCACUUAUGGAGAAUGUCUUUAGGGACAGAACCAACCACCCUGUCUUUCCUCCAACUCUCAAAGUAACUUCUGGCUUUAAUCCUCAUGUGUCUAUGCUGGAGUUUAAGAAAAAUGUUUUUCA
rnacentral:lncRNA from 1 species